UUUUUAUGGAGAGUUUGAUCCUGGCUCAGGAUGAACGCUGGCGGCGUGCCUAAUACAUGCAAGUCGAGCGAACAGAUAAGGAGCUUGCUCCUUUGACGUUAGCGGCGGACGGGUGAGUAACACGUGGGUAACCUACCUAUAAGACUGGAA
rnacentral:rRNA from 1 species